rnacentral:rRNA from 1 species
UACGGGGGGAGCAAGCGUUGUUCGGAUUUACUGGGCGUAAAGGGCGCGUAGGCGGCCACCGCAAGUCAGUUGUGAAAUCUCUGGGCUUAACCCAGAACGGUCAGCUGAUACUGCGGGGCUAGAGUGCAGAAGGGGCAACUGGAAUUCUCGGUGUAGCGGUGAAAUGCGUAGAUAUCGAGAGGAACCCCUGCGGCGAAGGCGGGUUGCUGGGCUGACACUGACGCUGACAGCGCGAAAGCUAGGGGAGCGAACGGG